UGCGUAGGUGGUUUCUUAAGUCAGAGGUGAAAGGCUACGGCUCAACCGUAGUAAGCCUUUGAAACUGAGAAACUUGAGUGCAGGAGAGGAGAGUAGAAUUCCUAGUGUAGCGGUGAAAUGCGUAGAUAUUAGGAGGAAUACCAGUUGCGAAGGCGGCCCUCUGGACUGUAACUGACACUGAGGCACGAAAGCGUGGGGAAGCAAACA
rnacentral:rRNA from 1 species